rnacentral:sRNA from 1 species
AUGUCCAAUAGCGACACAGUCCGGAAGUUAAAACAUGAACAAUUUCCUCAUACCGUGUACGUUUUGACAGAGGAUGUGGUCGUAUGUGAGAGUAGAGUUAAUCUAGUUUUCGAACAAGGGCUCAAAGGAAAUGCCACCAUGGGUGCAAAUCCUUUUAUGCCAGCCUGGACAGCCAUUAAAGCAAUUGAUGGCAAUGUCUCACAGGACUACAAAUCAAACUCCUGUGCUAUAACAAAUGUUGACGGGAACCACAACACUUCUAUAUGGUGGAAGGAUCCCAAGUCUGGAUGUCCAACGUCUGUUAUGAAUGUAACCAUCAACAACAUAACACAAGGGAUUGCAUUUAUCAACACGCGACCACAGAAUUAUACAUCUACCUGUCAAAAUGAUAACACGAUGUAUACUGGGAUAGAAAUAUGUGAAGUUAAAGUAAUGGGUUGUGAUCACAACAGGUUUUCACCUGGCUGCAAUCACCUAUGUCCAGCUAAAUGUAAAAACCAACACUGUGACGCAUUCAAUGGAUCCUGUAUUCAUGGAUGCACUGAUUCAAGUGCUCUCACACUUGACUGCAUUGUAUGCCCUAAUGGGAAUUUCAUAUCAAACAAAUCGUGUGUAGACUGCCCUGGUCAUUGUAAAAAUGGAGCAUCUUGCAAUAAGUUGACGGGCAUGUGUGAUAAUGGAUGUGCUAAUCACUGGAAUGGAACUUUCUGCAAUAUUUGCUCGGAUCACUACUACGGAUUUGACUGUAACACUCCAUGUGGACACUGUAUAAACAAUGGCGUGUGUGAUAAAGGGACUGGUUCCUGUCCUAAUGGGUGUCAGAGUCACUGGCAGGGAGAGGGGUGUGACGAAUGCAAGGAUGGAUUUUACAAUAGUUCGUGUACUGAAGUUUGUGGUCAAUGUGUAAAUGGAUCGGCCUGUAAUAAAGAUACUGGAUAUUGUACAGAUUGCUUAAACAACUUUAUACAACCAUUUUGCAAAGAUUGCAUUGAGGGUUAUUAUGGGAAAGAUUGCAAUAAAAUGUGUUCAAACUGCAACUCAAGCGCACCAAGCUGUAACAAAGACACUGGAACAUGUUUCUUUGGAUGUAAUGAUGGGUGGGAAUCUCCUAGUUGUGCUGUUCCCCUGGGAAGCAUUAAGCCUGAGUCCAAUUCAGGUGCAGUAGCUGGAGGGGUGGUUGCUGUUAUUAUUGUAUUAGUGGUUGUGGGCGUUCUUGGUGUUAUUUAUACACGACGUAGAAGAGGCAUGAACAAUGCGAGCCAAAAUAAGGAACAACCAAAAUCAAAUAUUCCUCAUGCGAAAAAUUCUAGUAAGGAAAGGAAGUAUGCUGAUUUGAAAGAUAAUUUGCAUGAUACAUCUCCCGGUGAAUAUAUGAACGAGGCCUUGGUAGAAGAUGACGGGGGUUACUAUAAUACAGCAGAUGUCAACACAGCUAUUCGUCUUGAAGAUUUACAGCGUGUGAUGUCCGAAAAAAGUGCCGGAGAAAAUAACACAUUUCAAUCUGAGUACAAGAGACUUCCAGUUGGAAAUACUUCUUUAUGUAAGGAAGGAAUGAAACAAGAAAACACGGCAAAAAACAGAUUCAAAACGACCUUCCCAUACGACCACUCAAGAGUCAUUCUGAAAGACAUUUGGAAUGAAGGAGAAAACGACUAUAUCAACGCUAACUUCAUGAAGGACUAUAACGGCCAACAAAUGUACAUAGCUGCCCAAGGUCCUAAGAACAACACCCUGACUAACUUCUGGAGAAUGAUUUGGCAGGAAAACGUCAGGUUCAUUGUCAUGCUAACGAAUACUAUCGAAAACGGGAAGAACAAAUGUACCCAGUAUUGGCCUACGAACGAGAAAAUACUACAAGUUGGUCCAUGUAAAAUGAAGCUACUGAAAGAACAAGUUUACGCAUUUUAUAUGUAUAGGAAAUUUACAGUCCAGAACACAAAAUCUUCUGAAAAAAGAACGAUAACCCAAUUCCACUACACUGCUUGGCCAGACCACGGGACGCCAGAAGAAAUAGGAUUGGGUCAGUUCCAUAAAGCAGUCACUAAAAGAUAUCAACCAGGGGGACUGAUGUUGGUUCAUUGCAGCGCUGGUGUCGGACGAACAGGAACAUUCAUAGGUCUGGACUGCUUGCUAAAACAAGGAAGAAAGACAGGGGAAAUCAAUGUGUUUGAGUUUGUUCAACAAAUGAGAGAGGACAGAAUGACCAUGGUACAAACAACGGACCAGUACAUAUUUCUUCACAAGGCAUUGCAGUUUGGAUUCGAAGACAAAGAUACGGUUAUAAGUGAGAGUGACAUACCGACCAAAUUAAACACAUUGUUGAAGGACUCGUCGCCAUUAAAUCAGAGGGCUCUAUACAAAGAAUACAAGUUCCUGCAAACUGUGAAACCAAUUUUUGAGGACGAAAACAAAGAGGAUGGAAUGAAGCCAGAAAAUAAAAACAAAAACUCCAACAUGAAUGUCAUACCUGUUUCCAAAUAUCGUCCUUACUUGACAUCAUAUGUAAAAGGGAGAAACGACUACAUAAACGCAGUCUGUGUUCCGUCUUUCUUGAACAGUGGUGCGUUUAUUCUCACACAAGCCCCUCUUCCAGAAACAACUGUUGAUUUAUGGACACUGUGUGUGGAUCAUGAUGUCAAGGCAAUUGUUGUACUAACUGAAAACAGAGAGGAAAUACAAUGGAUUCCAAAGAAGGGUUGUUCAAGCAUAUAUGCGCCAUAUACUUUAACUUCCGGUAAUGCAGGAAGUAGCAUCAGUGGAGUUACACAGGAUACAUUAGCUAUUCUCAAGGACGGUAUCAAACAGGAUGUAGAUGUUUUCCAUAUACCUUUUGAAUAUGAUAAUGCCAUGAUAAAAGGUGUAGAAUUGCUGCUUGAAAAGGGAAAAGAAAGCGAGUUUACAUCAGUCGUCAUCAGCAAGGACGGUGCCGGCCCUUCUGGUAUAUUUUGCACUUUACAUAAUGCCAUCCAACAGUUACGUAUUGAUAGAGAGGUAGACAUACUGACUGCAGUGAGACUGAUCCACACAAGGAGACCGGAAGUCAUCACUAAGCUGGAGGAAUAUAGGAGAUGCUAUGAACUCUUAUCGCUCUCUGUAUCAGAAGAUGGAAUAUAUGCCAAUACGUGAUCGCUGCCGUUUAAAUCUACCCAAGUUUGGAACAAUACAAAUUACAUGAUCAAUUUAAAAAGAAUAUUGUUGUGCUAAAUGUUUAUGCUUAUAUAUCAAAACUUGAUUAAUUCAGUUGAUGUCA